rnacentral:lncRNA from 1 species
GAUUAUUCAAGGCUGUGGGUCAUAGGCUUGGGAAUCUCAGGGGCCAUCUUAGAGUUCUGCCUAACAUAAGAAGUAAUUUCAGAUCCCUUCUGAACAAGCAUUUAAGUUUUGGGAAACAAGUGGCUAAGGAGAGAAUCAUGUUUCAUUCCACUGUUCCACAUUCAGGGAGUGUGCGUGUGCGGCGAGUGUAGGAUGAGAGGCGUGUGGCUGAUGUUCCCUCCCUGCCUACACUCGGUGUGACUCUGCUACCUGGAUGUACCUGUUAAUCAUACAGGGUGGCCCUUAGCUGUUUAACCAGGUGCUCAGUUGAAGAAACAGCAAUUCUUCUCUAAGACUGGAUGAAAAAUUGGCUGUGUUCAGUUUAUUGACAGCUGGUAGAUCUCCAAUAUAGCACUUUCCUAAGAGAUUUUCAAAGGUAAUUUUGAUUAUGUUAUUUGCACUUAAUACUCUGUCUCUUGAACCUAAACUCCAUAAAGAACAACUCUACUAUAUUGUUCCUAUUAUUAUUAUCUAGGACACCUUGAGAUAACUGAUGAGAGAAAAAUGAUUGAAAGGAUAUAAAGUUAGGAAGAUAUUGGUUCUCUUUAUUAUCCUUCCUGUACCAAGUGGUUUAAGCAGAAAAUUUAAAACUAGCUUUCAGUUGUAUGAGUUAUGUUCAUCGUUGUAGGGAAUACAAAGAAAUGUGAAUUUACCUUUAUCAUCAAUACAUGUUCAAUCUAGUUGCAAAGGUAAGACAAUUAUAAAUGUAAAGAGUUAAGUGACAGGAGCAGGCAGCAUAUAAUUAUAAGCCACGUGGGUAGGAGUGUUAAAUGAUAGUCAUAAGGUAGAGAUGACAUCUAAGAGUGUCAUCCUUAAUUAUCCAAGGAUGACAUCCAAGGGAAGUGGGAGACCACAGAUGAACCUACAGAGAUGGGCACGGUGUCACCAGAUGGAGAGAGUGGAAGAGGACAUUUCAGGAGGAGGUGUGGCAUGCACAGAAACGCGGAUGCACACAAUGAAACAGUCAUGAAGUGGCCGUCUGGCUGGAGCCCAGAGUUCAGCUAAGUGAAUCUGAAGAGGUCCAAGCAAGAGACUCAUCUCCCGGCACUGUUUGAACGACGCCUUGGGAAGGUCCUGCAGCCCCCGUAGCACGGACAAGGGUGCGCCUCCAACCAGCUGGAGCAUGAAAAGGCCGCGGAUAGCCUACACAUAUGUUGCCGGUGCUGAGGCCGUCAUGUGAAGGUUCCCUUCCUGUACCUGGGGGAAAGGGUCCUCAUCACCAAAGGAUCUCACAGAAGAAUCUGGAGGAACAGGCCCUGCUGUUUUCCCGACUUAACCCUACUGAGCCCAUUCCCUUUGGUCCUUUCAUAUUUUCAUGUGACUUCCUGCUCUCCAUCAAACCCUAGUGUAAAAAUGCUAAGGCUUAAUCAUUUCUUUGGUUCUGCAUUUCCUUAUGAAGGCUCC